rnacentral:misc_RNA from 1 species
UCUUUUCUUUUGAUAAGAGAGUUUUUAAAACCAGUGUUAUUUUUGUAAGUUUAAGAGAAGUUUGUGUAUUGAAUUUUUUAUUUUUAAUAUUAAAGAGCUUUGUUAAACUUAGACUUAAGUUUAGGUCAUUUUGGGGGUUUAGCUCAGUUGGCUAGAGCAUCGGCUUUGCAAGCCGAGGGUCAAGGGUUCGAGUCCCUUAACCUCCAUUGGGCUUAUGUCCUAAAUUGUAAUUAAGUAUGUUUUUAAGCAACUUUGUUAAAGUAAUUGUUGGAAUGUGAAACAGAGGAAGUUAAAAUUUCUGGGUUAAGUUGAGAUCUGUUGAUAUUAAGAAGAAUCUCUAGAAGCAAAAGCAAGCUUUCGAUAAAACCCGAAGUUGUUUCGCUAAAGUGCAAGGAUUAAACAGGAUUGUAUUUUCCAGCAGCCUAUUUUAUAAACGAUCUGCAUUUAGUAAAUAGUUUUUAGUUAAGAAAUAAUGUAGAUUGCUAAGUGUGAUGUC